CAAAUCGAAAAGAACUGUCCCUCUAUUUUCUUCAUUCUACGGUGUGACGUACCUCUAUUCUCCCCAAAAUAGAAGAACAGCAAAAUCAACAAGGAGAAUUCGGAACCACUGGCUCGGAUUACUGACACAAAUGGCGCUUUGAUUCCACCAUUGGAAAUUGUUGCCAUGCUUUCUUAGACUCUGUUAUUCUCAUUUAGUUGUCUACUUCUGUAUUUCAAGUUCUGCGUAAAGAAUAUUUUAAUUGCAUACUCUCUGCAUUAAUGUUGCUUAUUUUUCUCUACUCUUAUAACUGCUAAUUAUUGUGUGUAAAAGAAAGAGUGUCAAACAAAUUGGGAUUAGAGAAGUACUAAUAAAUCAUCUCAAAUGAUGUUUAUUGAUCCAAGUUCAAGUGGAGUCUGAGGAACUGGGAUUGUUCAAUGCUGAAGUUGCUAAGAAAGAAAAAUGACAAGGAAAGAGAUAUCUGGUAGUUGUCCUUGGCCAUGAAAUCACCAAGUAGUCAUCUUCACAACUAAUUGGUAAAAUAAUUUAUUUAAUAAUGAUAAUACAUUCACUUUUCAAGUGGGACUAAUUCGAAUUAGUGGCUAAGUUUGUUUUUCACUUAGUUGUUCAAUCUACAUUUAAUGAUUAAGUGUCCUCACUGGCCGAGAAAAGAAAAGAGAAACUAAUAUGAAAAGUCAGAUGCCUUCUCCGCUCACCACUCUCAGUUUUCUGCAACUCAGCGUCUGUUAGAUUAAUACAUAAGAUAAUGUCAACUAUGGGAUAAUGUCGUUCUAUAUGCUUUUUUGUUUCUUUUAUUAAGCUUUUUAAUUGCCUUAUACGAAAAGAUGAAGAUAUGAAUGGCUUAUAGCUGUGUACUCCUGUUCCAUUUUCUCUCUGUUUUAGUUCUAUGGAGUGAGUUCCAUCACCUUGCUUCUGUUCUACUUCUUUCUGGUUCAGAUUCGUAGUAUUUAUUGGAACUGGAAUAAUGAAUGUGUUUAAUCCUCGUGCCUCUUCAGGUUCAUUAGUGUGUUUUUAUACAUAUAUACGAUAUAGAGAGCUUAAUUAGCUACUUGAGCAUGCUGUAACUUGCUUCUAGGUGGCUUAUAAGAAUAAUUUAUUUAUUUUUUGUUCUGGAUCUGAUUGUAACGAUUGGAAUGUGUAGGAUGUGGAAUUAUCUUAAUGCACGAAAAAUAGCGACGUGAUUAGUUUAUAGAUGAUUUCUAUCUACGAGAAGGUAGUUUAUACAUGUUAUACUUUUUAAAUGAUUUUAUAUGUUUUGGAAUAUACUCACAACUUUCUUUUCUUUCCAGGAGAAUUUGGUGCAUGCUAUGAUAAGUGGAUUGUUUCAAUCUUUGGGUGGAUGCUUUCAAUCUUUUACAGAUUUUAACCUUUUCUUUUGACCUACUUAAUUAUACGUGAAGUUUAAAGAUCUUGAGAUACUGUUAUUAGCUUCUGUUGUGCCAACAAAUCUAUCAAGGCCUCAGAUCUGCAUUGCAUGCUUUAGAAUUCAAUGAUAUAUCCUUAAACCAUAGAAAUUCAUAUGUUGAUAAGAAAAACAAAGGAAUUACGAAAUAUGUAUUUGGAUAUUGAAGGGAGAUUCUUCAGACCCUAAACAGAUCCUACUUGAGGAAAUUGGCACAAAGUUUCAAUAUGAUUCUAAGUACCAGAAGAGAAAUCAGUUCCAGAGAGGAAAGCUAAGGAAACUACUGCCGAGGAUACUAAUGUUAUUAAUCCUAUUUUUCGUUAAGUACUUGGAUUUUCAAUUCCUACUAUUAAUUACCAUAAUCUAGAAAUGAAAUGAAAUAGAUGUUAUUUAAUUCAUUGCAUGUUUCAAUAGCAAUUAAUGAAACAAAUGCCAAAAGCAACAAGUGCCAUGAAAAAAUGAAAGUGAUAAAGAUGCCGCAGGAGCAAAAGAGCAAGACAAUAAUAGAUUGAUGCAUUGCAGGGAAUGGAAAGAAGAUAAAAAAUAAAGAUGAUCAGAAGCUUCCGGAGCCACCCAAGGAUUAUAUUCAUGUUGGAGCAAGACGGGUCAGGCCACUGAUGCCCAUAGUCUUCCUGAAAGAGUAUGAACAUUUUUUGUGCCACAAUUACUUGCAGUAGUUCUACGUGAGUUUUUCUUUACUUUGUGCAGUAAGCUACUUUUCUAGCAAACCAACGCAUCCCCUUUGGUACAUCAGCAUAGGAUAUUUGGACCGAAACUAUGCAGAAUCCACCAGAUGGUGAUUCAUUAUGCUUCAGAUCGGCGGCCGAGGACAACUCUUUCUGACACAUAAGAUCAAGAAGUUUGUCUUGCACAUUAACUAUCCUGAGCAUGCCGAUUCAAGUUCAUACAUGAAUUGCAAUUUUGUUAUCCACUGUUCUGAUUGGUCGUAUCAUCAGGAUGUAAACUCCUCUAAAGCCACUAUUACAGCCGUCACAAAAUGGGAACAAGCUAAGGCAAACCUCGACUCUUGGACAUCAGGAUCUACAUGCCUUUGGAGUAGGAAGUGAAAAUUUAGCAGAUUUGGUACAUCAAUGGCAGUGCAAAGACAAUAGUGUCAAAAGAAGACAUUACAAACAUUAUGGAAAAUUUGACACUUAUAUACUGCAGAAGCUUUCCACUCUCACGAGAGGAAAGAAGACUAUGCUAAUCCACUGAAUUUAUUAUUAUAGAGCAUCAAAACAAAGGAGUUAACAUUAAAAACCCAAAAGGGUAUUGUGCCAUUCAGUGAGUUGUUAGUCAAAUCUAGUUUAUCUAGCUUUGAAAGCAUGCUCGCAUUGCUAGGCAGUGAACCAGAUAAGGAAUUACUCGACAAGUCUAAGAGCUCAAGACGUGUCAGGUUUAAGAUGGAAGAGGGAAUGGACCAAUGAAGUUGUUAAUAUAACAAUCCAAUUCAACUAGCUCUUGGAGGUUAGAGAAAACAUCGGGAUUUUUGCCUCUAAGGGAGUUAGAUGAAAGAUAUAAAUGUGUGAGCUGCUUCAAAUUAGAGAUUGUUGAAGGAAUAUGGCCAGUGAAAUUAUUAAGACUAAAAUAUAAGUCCCUAAGCUGGGUUAGGUUGCCAAUACAAUCAGGAAUCGAACCAGAGAAGCCACAGCCGUUGAGGUUCAAGUGACUCAAGGAACUCAAGGUGCCAAUUGAAUCAGGCAGCUCACCAGAGAUGCCUAUGUAUGAAAUGUCCAACUCCAAUAGAGUAGUGCUCGUGUGGAGCUUUGGUAAAACUCCUUUGAGAAGAUCAUUCCAACCCAAUUUGAGCCUUUCCAAGUUAGGAAGAAUAAAAAAGCUCUCUGUGAGAUUACCUUGCAAGAUGGCAUCUUCCAGAUCCACGUACCUUUAAAGAAGAAGACACAUUCAUAGGUAUCGGAGAUGAGAUGUUGACACUAAAGAAAGAAACUACCUCCAGAUAUGUGAAGUUUUGAGGCAGUGUUUCAAAUGUUCCCUGAUCAUGUUGUGAUUCAUGAAAACCAUUAAAAAAAAAAAAAAAAAAAAAAAAAGAUCAAGUGAAACCAAAUUGGAAAGGUAUGAGAUUUCUGUUGGUAUUUUACCAACAAAGUUAGAGUAAGAAAGGUUGAGAUGCCUCAAAUUCCUCAAGCAGCCAAUGCCAGUUGGAAUUGAAGAAAAAUUGAAGUCAUUGUCAGCAAGAGUUAGUCUCUGGAGAUGAUGGAGUUGGAAGAGGUUGUUGUUGGGAUGAAUACUUCCACCAAGAUGACUGCAACUAAGGUCCAGACCGGUAACAUAACCGGUUAACAAGUCACAAGUGACUCCAUCCCAAGUGCAACAAUCCCUACUCACAUCCAAAAUGUUGUUUUCGGGAAAGAAGAAGUACCACACGAAUAAGAGUUGGAGAUUUCAAAGGGUUUCUUAAAUUGAAGCAAAGCAGAAGCUUCGCUCGGAGAGCAAAGAUGAUGAAGAAAAGCUUUGGCUUAGAAAGACAAAAUAGAGACGUGAAUAAAAGAAAAAGAGACUUGCCAUUUUCUUUUUGUUUGUUUUCAGCAAAUAACAGAAUGUUUCUUACAAAAUCAAUUAUUACAAUCCAUACAUAUUUAUAGCUAUAUCAACACCUCAUUUCACUUGACUUGGGGCAA